GGGAUUUGUAUCAACUCUGCCCAGCUAUGGUUCCAUCACGCCUAUCCUCUUGUGAAGAUGCUACAGACAAAGGACUGGAAAAUGUCAAAGAACAGAAACUUCGACUGGUCUUAUUCCGUGUAACCUAAGGGUUCAAAGUUGAAAACUGUAACUAUCACAGCAGCUGAGGUCAACCAGCUCAACAGGGACUAAAAUCAAAACGAAGGCCUUCUUGGUCAGUAUUCAUCAGGAACACAUCAUUAAAUAAACACGGCCUCUAUCAGAAAAUGACCAGAAAAUCCCACAAUAUAAUUAAUGUUCAAAUCUAUGUGUUUAUUUUGCAAGGGCAUUAGACCAAAUCUUACUAUUGGAGUCCAAUUAAUGAUAACUGCCAUUAAUUAGAUUUGAAAGUCAAUAAUGAAGUUACUCAUUUUUUGUGUGGCAAUUUGUCAAAAAUGUGAGCUGAUAGUAUUGCAAUAAGGAAAGCAGGGCUUCUGGGACCAGAAUGAGAAAGACAAACAAGCUUGUUUCCCGUUCACCAAAACCAUUAAAAGAAAUUAGGAACUCUCAGCUCAAGGACUGAACAAGGAAGUGUAGGCUGGAGUGUGUGACUUCAAGGACUAUCAGGGACAGAAAGCUAAAUAAAAAGAGACAAAGGGGGUCUGGGAAAAAAGAGAUGGGAAAGGAAAAUGUCUUUUAUUUAAAUAUCUCUAGCAAUUAUGAGGGGUGAUAGAUAUGUUCGUGGCCUAGGUUAGAAGGAGAGGAGUUAUACAGCUCCCGUUACAUGCACAUGCAGGUCAACUCUUUGAGUAAUUAUGCAGAAAGUUUGAAGUUAAUAACAUCGCCUUCUAACUUAGGCCACAAAUUUAUGAAUCACCCCUGCUGUGGUCACUUCUUGGAGGUUCAAAAUCCGUAUGCUCCACAACCGCUGGACUAAGUGUGAAAAUGUAGGAGGGGACUAUGUUGAAAAAUAAAUGUGCUAAGUUUUUUAAAAUUGAAUCCUUCUCCCUUAGGCCAUGAACAUAUCAACCACCCUUUGUUUAUCUAAAGGAAUAACAAUCCACUGACAUAAUUGUUCAUUUUCAAACUCUAGAGAAAUUGGUUGUCAAUAAUUAACAUUUCACUUAGUUAAAAUUUUUCUAAAAAUGGAACAGCAAGGACAAACCUUUUACUGAUGGUUUUAGUUCUUACCUGCAAAAU